rnacentral:rRNA from 1 species
AUGAGAGAACGGGAGUACCGCGAGAAUUUGUUGAAUCAGAUUGGUAGUUGCACAUAUAACCAGGAGAGUUGGAGAGCUUUAUGGCGAUUGCAUGUCCAACCAAAAAUCCGUGUGUUCUGGUGGCGGGUGAUUAAAGGAUUUCUGCCAUCAAGGGGAGAGCUACAGAGACGUCAUAUUGAGGAGAAUGCAGUUUGCCAGUUGUGUGGGCAUGAUGAGGAGUCGCUCUUUCAUGCACUCAUUCAGUGUGAGCACACCAAACUAUUUUGGAGAGAAGCCACAAAGUUUUUUGAUCUAAAAUUGCCGCGGUUGCACCCUGCAACCUGGUCGCGAGACCUGUUGGACUCACAUUUCAUUAGCAGGGACAGAGCGGUGAUUAUAGUAUCGGUUAUGUGGGUGAUUUGGGCCAGCCGAAACAAAUACACCCACGAGGAAGUGAAGUAUCAGCCAGGACGGGCAAUGGAGCUGGUGCAAGAACUAGUACAGGCACUGCAUGUUCCUGGCUCUGAACAACCAAAGUGUAGGCAGAAGGGAAGAUGGUUAGCGCCCGAGGUAGGCUGGCUGAAAAUUAAUACAGAUGCAGCGGUCAACAGUACUGAUGGGUAUGCAGCUACGGGUGUCGUGGUGAGGAAUCAUGAAGGUACUUUUCUGAUGGCCAGAAAUACAAAACUUCCCGGAAUCACGGAUCCGUAUAGUGCGGAACUCCUUGCAGUUAGAGACGCUGUCCGGCUAGCAAUGGAGAUGAAUUGGAAACAUGUUAUUAUUGAGACAGAUUGUCAGACUAUCAGGGAUGAAUGGGAAUCUGCCGACUGCCGGUCGAUGGGAAGUACAGUGAUCAGAGAGAUUAAAUCCUAUAUCCCAAACUUUCAGGGUCUUAGCAUCCACUACGCUCGGAGAGAAGCCAAUGAUGCUGCCCAUUGCUGUGCAAAGGAGGGUUUAGUUACUGCUUCGAGUGUUGUUACGUAUGCUGUAAUCCCUGCUUUCUUGAUUGCAACCAUGCAAUCAGAUGUAAACCGCCUGAUUAUUGAAUAA